rnacentral:ncRNA from 1 species
GCUGUGGAGCGACACAUAAACGCAAGUAGUCCAGACGAAAGCGGUCGCUGAGAAACAGUGA